GUGGAUCCAACCCUUUCAAAAACAUAUGUUUAUGUGCUGUUGAUUUCAGAGAAUAUAUUUCAUAAUGUAGAAGACAUCAUCUGUUUUUAUUCUCCAAGACUCGGGACCCAGGUUCACAGAACAACCACUUUCUGGAGCACUGCCAAACAGACUAGGAGCAGGAGAAGAGAAUAAGAGGAAGCAGGCACUCGAUUUUGAGAAUUCUUCACAUCCCUCAAAAAACUCAAGAUGUUUCAUUUUGAAACUACAUUUCAUUUUGACGCUACAAUCAAAAUCUUCCCGAUGGAGGCUGCCUCAUCCACCUAACUCCUAACGUGAACGCAACGUGAAGCAGAGCCACAGGGUUCAGAAUGUUACUCCCAAGUUCAUGGUAGACACAGUCUCAGUUCUCAUUUCCUGGAAAGUUGGAAGAAAGAGAACCCUCUGUUUGGAAUUAUCUGCCCCUAUAGAAGCCUUGCAGAUAACUAAGGCUCAG
rnacentral:lncRNA from 1 species